UACGUAGGUGGCAAGCGUUGUCCGGAUUUACUGGGCGUAAAGGGCGUGCAGGCGGUUUGUUAAGUCUAGGGUGAAAGCUCCCGGCUCAACUGGGAGAGGUCCUUGGAUACUGGCGAACUUGAGGGAUGCAGAGGAAAGUGGAAUUCCCGGUGUAGUGGUGAUAUGCGUAGAUAUUAGGAAGAACACCAGUGGCGAAGGCGGCCAACUGGCCCGAUACUGACGCUCAUGUGCGAAAGCGUGGGGAGCAAACAGG
rnacentral:rRNA from 1 species